ensembl:lncRNA
UUCAGCUUCGCCCCUUUGAAAUUUCAAAUUCCAGUUUGUGGACAAAGUCCUAACUAUCUCACAAUAUAGGUCCCCAACUGCUGACCAAACUCCAGUCCAGGCAGCCACCUGGCUUGAAACUGGCCUGGCUUUGCUGUUUUCCUUUGGCAGCUCCCAAGACCCGAUGGUAGGAGUCCUAGGCAGCUGGGACCUACCAGGCCAUCCUGAAGCCCCCAGCUCACUACCCAGGGACCCCUGUUCCUAUCUGAGAGGACCACCUCUGCUUGAAGCUGGAAUCUGAUGCUUCUUGGUGCCAAUAACUGAAACCAGGUAAGUGUCGUCUUGGGAGCCUUACUGCUCCAUUUGGAGCUCCUGAGCCCUGUCUACCAUGGCUCAGUUCCAUCGAGACCUCCUGGAACUUCAGACUGGAAAAGCCAUCUUGUCAGAUGGAGACCCCGAAGCCCUAGUGAAGGGUACUUGCUGCAGGUUGGGAAUUGGGCCAAAGACCUGGGGCCUCUCACCAGGCCCAGAGAGGAGAAGGGACUUGCUUUAGGCUAAUUAGUGGUGACAGGUGAAUUCUGUCUUAAUAAAGGGGACUCCAUUGCUUUCCCAUCUCACAGACUGUGAAUGACUACAUGUUGCUUCUACUCAAUGAGUGAUGACUGCCUGCUCACUCAGUGACCACAGUAUCUCAGAGAGGAAGAGGAGGGAGCUGGGGGCUGAAGGCCAGUGGCUUUAGAAGGAAACAACAUUUGUGUGGUUAACUGAUAACUGGGCCCCAUCCCCGGGCCUCCAGUGGCCUCUUCCUCCCUCUCUGUCCUCAGUGUGAUUAAGAUGAACUUACCUGUCUGCUAAUCAUUGCUGAGCCUGUUGGUCUUGCUUUAAAAAAUUAACUGGGCAUGAGUUUGCGGUUUGCCUCAUCCCUAACCCUGAAAAGGCCGCGGGGUGGGCAGGAGCCCUCCUAGGUUAUGCAAGAGGCCACUGGCCUCUCCACAAACCUCCAACAGCCUCCACUGCGCCCUCCGGAGGGGAGGCUUUGCUCAAGAGUCAACAGCCUGCAUGUGCCCCUGCUCCCGGGCCUGAGCAUAUUUGCUCUGUUACCACAGGGAGAUAAAGGCAGCCAGGAAGCUUCCCAACGUGGGAUGUGAAGCAGCAGGUUUUGGUUCUAAUGUCUCAGUCAGGGAAUCUUAGGGGACAUGCAAAGGGAGGCUUUGCAAGCUGGGUUCUGGGGCUCCUGAGAGCUCACUGAGGGGGCCAAUGAUGCCUUCUUAAAAGAGUUUUUUUUUUUUUUUUUUUUUUGAGACAGAGUUUCUCUGUGUAGCCCUGGCUGUCUUAGAACUCACUCUGUAGGCCAGGCUGGCUUUAAACUCAGAGUUCUGCCUGCCUCUGCCUCCCAAAUUCUGGGACUAAAGGCAUGCACAACCCCCCAGCCUUAGAGGAGCUCUUAAUAGUUGGUUUUUUAUGCCAAGAAAGCUCUGUCCCAGACCCAGCAGAUGGGGACAUGGAGAAAAAGAAGGAUGCAUUCUUUCCAGGAACAGGCUGCUCUAAGUAGCCUUGGUCUAGGGCCUGAGUGAUGAGUUGAAGGACCUUAAGGGCAAGGGGGAUUUCCCUCUGCUGGCAGAUGUCUGAGAGCCACCAGAGGCCCAAGUCAGGGGAUGUCACUGUGUCCUUCAGGUCUGUGAGUAGUCCCCGCAGCAGAUGCAUGAAGUAGAGGCACCUCCCAGCUUUAGCUAUGUCUUGUCCCUGGAAUCAUCAGGCCCUAGAGAAAAGACUCAGAACCCAGAGCCCUUCCCUGACUUUCUAGACCCUUCAGCUUCAGUUUCUUUCCUUGUGAAUUGAGAAAAUGCCUAAGUUCUAAUUUUCCCAUGAGGUUGAAUAGUGCCAAAGAUGCACAGAGCCAAUGUGUGGACGUUUGUGUCAGGGUGGGUCCAGGGCUUUGUUCAUGACUCCUCACAUUGCUCUGAUGCUGGUGUGAGACCGCUGGCCCAGAGAAGUUUCCACUGGCGCUGGUGUACCCAAGCUCACACAGUUGAUAGGAAAUGAGAUGCAGGACUGAAAUCCAAGCUGACUCCAGAACCUGUAUUCCCAAUCCCGAGACUACCCCAGCCUUCUGAGACUUUCCCGGAUGUAGUAAGUACCCAGGGAAGGCUGGCAGGAUAAGGACAUGGAAGCUGCUUGGGCAGAAAGCAGUGUAUUGUUGUGGGAGAUGCCAUGGGGAAGGUUAAGGAGGUCUGGGUAAGUGGAUAGUCUGGGGAAUGGUCAGGAAAGAGGCCAGGAUUGGGCCCCGUGGGCGGUGCUUCCUGUGGGCUGUUUGCCUACUGCCAGGUGGCUUAUGACAUCUGGGCUGAGGGUGUUACUGUCCUGUUUGUGUUCUGUGAGGUGACCUUGACCUUUGUGGGACUUCAGGGGUCACGGGGAGCCCCUGAGUAUAAGUCCUGGUCUUGGGGAUGAGGAAUGAGUCUGCCACUUAGAAGUCACCCUUAAUCACCCCUGACUCCUGUUUGGAGGGGUCCAGGGGAUUUGUCUGAGGUCAUCAGGGUAAAGUCAGUAUUUGGGAGUUCUGAGAUAGGCCAGGAUCACUGUGUGCAGUUGCACAGGCUGCUUAUUGCACAAAAUGUUCCAGUCAAGAGGACUGAGGUGGGGGAUGGGGUAGGGGGUGGAAAUCCAGCCCUGGUUCCAAAGCCCCAGGAGGGGAUUCCAUUUCUUAUUUGAACAACGGUUCCAUGAAAGCCACUGAAUGCCUGGUCCCAGCUUUGUUUUCAGCCAUGUGUGGUCCUGGGAAAGGUCAUUUCUCUCUUUGGUCUUGGUUUCUCAUUUAGAAAACCAAGCAGAAUUUCAGUCUGGAUAAUGAAACGGAACCACUUGAGACUGUUUUGUAUUUGAGACAGGAUUUCUCUGUGUAACAGCUCUGGCUGUCCUGGAACUUACUUUGUAGACCAGGCUGGCCUUGAACUCACAGAGAUCUGCUUGCCUCUUGCCUCUGCCUCCCAAGCACUGGUAUCAAAGGGGGAGAUACCACCACCUGGCUCACCUGAAAUUGUAAAAGGUUUUUACACCCUGGGUCUUAAAGGGCUUGUGCUUAGUGGUGGCAUGCUUAUCUAGCAUGUCAUAGGCCUUGGGUUCCAUCCCUAACACCACCCGGAGAAUAAGAAGAAUAAAACAAUGAUUCUAAGUCCUGUCAUAAACCAACAGACAAAUCUUGGGGUUGGACAGUCAGGCAGGCAAUGUAGCACACACAUGGAAUCAUAGCAAGAGCGCCAGGAAUUCCAUGCCAACCUGAGCUACAUCCUGGUGAGUGGAGGGCUAGCCUGAGCCAUAUAGACACAUUCUAUCUCAAAACAAAAAUCUUGGAGUCAGAUGCAUGGUGCUAGGUGUCAGCAAUUCCAAGAAAAUUCUGGUGGAUGGCCAUAAUUCAGAACUUCUGUGGGGCAAGGGAGAGCUGGAAGCACCCUAAUGCAGGCCCAGGUUUGACAACGUAUGAGUCAAAUCUGUGGUGAGGCUCAGUUUCCCUAUCUGUUAGGUGGGUCUGGGAUAACUGCCUCACCAAGUCAGAACGCUGACUCAUGCGUGAUGUUUGCACCACACCUGGUCCCGUCCCCAGUUUGUAGACAGCUCCAAUUCCAGGUACGAGUGGCUCUUGCUGUUAUUAUUGGCAACAUCAUAGUGGCUUCCAGGUCAGGGACAGAAUGACAUGGAGGUAAUUCCUACCUCACAAUCUUGGCUGCACACCUGUCCUUGCGGAGGUACAUGUAGUUACCAUUACUACUUACUAUUUUAAUCUCUUUUGUUGAAGUUUUUAGUCUUUAAUCCUUGUUACAUUGUUACAUUGCUACAAGAUACUAAACGGCACCGGUUGAGAAGCCUCGCUUCCCUUGGACUCCCAGCCUCUGCACCAUCCACUGCUGUUUCUUACCUUUUGUCUGCCUGGAGCCUUGCACAUACCCUGUGUUAUCACCCAGCCUCCUGCUCUGUUCUGUCCAUUGCUUUUCUCACUUCCUGUGGUGGUCGGUAGUUUACCUGACACCAUUAGGAGCUCAGCCAGGGGUACUCCGUUUCCCGGGGAGCUAAGUUUCAGAUUUUUAUUUUUCAACAGGGUUUCGUACCAGUAGCUUAGACCACUUGCUAUCUAGUGGAGAAUGGCCUUGAACUUCUGAUCCAACUGCCUACAUCUCCUGAUAACAGGUGUGCACCCUCACUUGCAUACGGUGCUGGGGGCGGAACCCAGAGCUUCAUGCAUGCUAGACAAGCACUCUGCCAGCUAAGUCCCUGGGGAGACCCUGGGGUUUAAAUUCCCUCCCUGGCUGCUGGAUUGCCAGGACAUCCAUUGUUUUGGAUCAAAAGUCCCCAGAGAGGCUAAAGGGUGAACAAGUCAUCAAAAUGGGGACCCAGAGACUAGCCGUCCCCUGGGUGGCAUAGACAAGGCUUGGCACUGUGGAGCCGGUCUAGACCUCUCUGCCAGCCUUGGGGUGACUGGGUAUAUAGUUGGGGACGUCAGGAGGGGAAAGCAAUGAGAAGGGAAGAAAGCAGGGCCUGUGAGACAGGCUGCUGCAGGCUCCUGGGGACAGAGAGGACCAUGUGACAGUGGGUUUUGUUUUGUUUAUUUUUACCAAUGUUCUGGUUAGGCUACCUUGAGGUCCCCUCUGAAUUUUUCACCCGCUUCAGUUUACUGACUUUAAGCAACUCAAUUUCCUCUCUCUCUGCCUCAGUUUCCCCAACUGCAAAAUGAAGAUUAAAGAGUCUCUUGUUGAGGGGAUCUGGACCCUAUUUUGAUCAAAAGUCCUUCACCUAUCAGGGCUCUUGACCUUCCUGGGCUGGGGCUAAAGUUUCCCACAUACCCCGAAUUCUGGACUUCUCCCUGAGUUCCUCAUCUAUCUCCCACCACUCUGGGCUUCCUUCCAGACAGAUGCGAACUCAGGAGCAUACCUGGUGGGUCCUGGGGGAAGCCCUGGCCCCUGUCCGACAUCUUCCUCCUGGUCCUAUGGGGUCACGCACGCUCCCGAUGUGGAGACGCCCACUGACUGCGUUCCUCAUCGUACACCCCAAACCUUGGGCAGGCUCAAAUGAGACAAAGAAAAGGCCAGCUAAUGGAGUGUGACAGAGUUCUCCAAAGAGGCCCUUGAGGAGGAAUUGAUGAGAAUGCCCACAGUGAGCUCAUCAGAUAAAGCUGCUUGCCUCUCAGCCUGGUGACCUGAGUUCAAUCCCCAGGACCCACCUGGUGGAAGGAGAGAAGCAACUCCUCCCCUUGGAUCUCCCUGUGAUCACUGUAGAACACCCUUCCCCAAUACAUAAUACAUGCAUACAUACAUACUACAUUCGUGCUUAAGGAAGAGAAUGCCAUUCGGUGCCUGGUACAUAGUAGACAAUCAAUGAAAAGAAUUCCAUGCCUACAGUAAAAUUUUUGCAAAGUGAAAUAAACAGUCUGAGAAUCAUAAGUUGGGCAUGGUGGCAAACGCUUUAAAAUUCCAGCACUUGGAAAUUGGGGGCAGAGUUCAAGGCAAUCCUUGGCUAUAUAGUGAGUUUAAGGAUAGAUAGUCUUGCACUAUAUGAGACCACGUAUUUAAAAGAAAGAGAGAGAGACAGACAGACAGAGAGAGAGAGAGAGAGAGAGAGAGAGAGAGAGAGAGAGAGAGAAACGAAAAAGAAGAAGGAAAGAAGUUCUUCAAUGGACCAGUGAGGUAACUCCGUGGAUAAAGAUGGCUACCAGGAUGCACGUGGCAGGAAGACAGAACCCUCUCUCACUGGUUAUCUCUGAGAUAACUUCACUGCCACACUUACACUCACACACAAUAAACACGUGAAAUGACCUCAGCUCCAUCCCUGGUACCCACACAGUAGGAGAGAAACAGUCUCCUGAACUGUUCCCUGACCUUCACAAACACACGAGCACUCGUGUGUGCAUGCAAGUGAAUUAAUAAGCCAUUUUCUUAAUGGACACAUAAAAAUAGUUUUUAAAAGUUUC